rnacentral:rRNA from 1 species
CCUACGGGAGGCAGCAGUGAGGAAUAUUGGUCAAUGGACGAGAGUCUGAACCAGCCAAGUAGCGUGAAGGAUGACUGCCCUAUGGGUUGUAAACUUCUUUUAUAUGGGAAUAAAAUGUUCCACGUGUGGGAUUUUGUAUGUACCAUAUGAAUAAGGAUCGGCUAACUCCGUGCCAGCAGCCGCGGUAAUACGGAGGAUCCGCGCGUUAUCCGGAUUUAUUGGGUUUAAAGGGAGCGUAGGUGGAUUGUUAAGUCAGUUGUGAAAGUUUGCGGCUCAACCGUAAAAUUGCAGUUGAAACUGGCAGUCUUGAGUACAGUAGAGGUGGGCGGAAUUCGUGGUGUAGCGGUGAAAUGCUUAGAGAUCACGAAGAACUCCGAUUGCGAAGGUAGUUCACUGGACUGCAACUGACACUGAGGCUCGAAAGUGUGGGUAUCAAACAGGAUUAGAUACCCUGGUAGUC